rnacentral:rRNA from 1 species
GACGAACGCUGGCGGCGGGCUUAACACAUGCAAGUCGAACGGAAAGGCCCUGCUUUUGUGGGGUGCUCGAGUGGCGAACGGGUGAGUAACACGUGAGUAACCUGCCCUUGACUUUGGGAUAACUUCAGGAAACUGGGGCUAAUACCGGAUAGGAGCUCCUGCUGCAUGGUGGGGGUUGGAAAGUUUCGGCGGUUGGGGAUGGACUCGCGGCUUAUCAGCUUGUUGGUGGGGUAGUGGCUUACCAAGGCUUUGACGGGUAGCCGGCCUGAGAGGGUGACCGGGCACAUGGGGACUGAGAUACGGAGCAGAGUCGUACGGGAGGCAGUAGGGGGGAAUAUUGCACAACGGGAGGAAGCCUGAGGCAGAAACGCCGCGUGCGGGAUGACGGCCUUCGGGUUGAAAAAAGCUUUAGCCUGUGACGAAGCGUGAGUGACGGUAAUGGGUAAAGAAGCACUGGCUAACUACGUG